UACGUAGGGCGCAAGCGUUGUCCGGAAUUAUUGGGCGUAAAGAGCUCGUAGGCGGUCUGUCGCGUCUGGUGUGAAAUCCCAUGGCUCAACUGUGGGCUUGCAUCGGGUACGGGCAGACUAGAGUGCUGUAGGGGAGACUGGAAUUCCUGGUGGUAGCGGUGGGAAUGCGCAGAUAUCAGGAGGAACACCAGUGGCGAAAGCGGGCCACCUGGACUGACACCUGACCGCGGACACGCGAAAGCUUAGGGGAGCGAACGGGAUUAAGAAACCCCAGAGGGUCCAAGACCGAAGUACCUUCUGCUACCGAUA
rnacentral:rRNA from 1 species